rnacentral:rRNA from 1 species
AACGAACGCUGGCGGCAGGCCUAACACAUGCAAGUCGAGCGAGGACUUCGGUCCUAGCGGCGGACGGGUGAGUAACGCGUGGGAACGUGCCCCUUGGUACGGAAUAGCCCCGGGAAACUGGGAGUAAUACCGUAUGAGCUCUACGGAGGAAAGAUUUAUCGCCAAGGGAUCGGCCCGCGUUGGAUUAGGGAGUUGGGGGGGUAAUGGCCUACCAAGCCGACGAUCCAUAGCUGGUUUGAGAGGAUGACCAGCCACACUGGGACUGAGACACGGCCCAGACUCCUACGGGAGGCAGCAGUGGGGAAUCUUAGACAAUGGGCGCAAGCCUGAUCUAGCCAUGCCGCGUGAGCGAUGAAGGCCUUAGGGUUGUAAAGCUCUUUCAGCUGGGAAGAUAAUGACUGUACCAGCAGAAGAAGCCCCGGCUAACUCCGUGCCAGCCGCCGCCGUAA